rnacentral:rRNA from 1 species
AUGACGGCAAUGAGCUCCCAUGCAGGGCUCUCCUUUGACGAUUUUUGCCUCAAACCACUGAUCUCUGAAUCGUACCUGCUUGAGUCGUCGCCGGCCACCGCCAAUCCCGAGCAAGUCGUCGUCGCCACCGCGGUGGAUAAGGCCUGGUGGCACAACGCCUUGCGCCGCCGCGCCCGUCCGCCGGCUCCCAAAUCCAGUGCUCGCCCUCUAAUCCAGACGAGCCCCGAACCCCUGCCCCCCUACUGUUACCCAGUUGCAGGAAUGACUGUCUUGAAACAACAGCCCACUAAUCCCACGAUCCACCCCUGUCAUCCGUCCCCCCGGCUCGAAGAAAAAAAAAACCCACGAGAGCACCACGCUCUCCCGUCGGUUGCUCAUAUCCUCCUCCCGCAUGACCUCUCGCCCCCUCCUCCUCCUCCUCCCGCCUCCUGCCUCUCCCUCCUCCGCUCCCUCCCGCUCCGCCUCCGCCUUGCCAUUCCCCGCCCCCGCCUCCCCACCCUCCUCUCCCUCGCCCUCCCCGGCAAAAACGGCAACGACGGCGGCGGUGGCAACAACAGCGGCGGCGGCGGGGAUGACGAAACAGGGGACGGCGGCGGCGAGUGGGGCGGCCACCGGGGGGAUGCGCUGUUCGUGCUGCCGCAGGCGGGGAGGAAGCUCUCCAGCCUGCCGGCGGACCUCGCCGUGGCCGUGGAGGGCGGCCGCGUCACGGGCGACAUCGUGCGGCGCUUCGCGGAGAUGGAGCGCUCGCCGCUGCUCCGUUGGCUGCUGGGCUUCAGAUGGUUCAGGGAGCGCCUCCUCGCCGACGACCUCUUCCUCGCCAAGCUCGCCAUGGAGAUGGGCGUCGGCAUGAUCGCCAAGGUCCGUGGGAUCGACAUGGAUGAAUCAUGAAUGCUUUCAAUCAUAAGGUCCUCCCGGCGCCUCACACUUGCCGCCGUGCCAUCUCUCCAUCCAGAGUGCCCCGACGCUCCCUCCCACCAUUCCUUCCCCCGCGGCAGUGUCACCAUGGACCACGGAGCAAAGUCUCGACCGCGGCGGCGCUGUCGGGUUGAGGAGGGAGGAUCAAGAAGGGGGGUGGAGCUGUGGCGACGGCCACACGGAAGGAGCCGGGAGCAUGCCAGAGCGGCACUCAGUUUGCUCAGGUGCCGCUGUGCAGUCGUAAGAAAACCAGGGGUCCGUCUUGUUGGAUUCGAUCCAGAAUUUCUUUUGUCAAUCUACGAGCAGGUAUAUUUGGAAUUGGAGGAAACAUAUCCUGAUUACUCUCUGGUUUUAUCUACUUUGGCUCGUUUACUUGCUUCAACUCAUGGCGUUCUCAUCCAUGGAGCCUGCGGCCGGGUGGGGAGCUCCUCGCAAGUUGUGGCGACGGCUGAAAUAAAUUGCGCUCGUUCAUGUGGUCGACAGUGAGGAAAAAGCACAUGUUUUUUUGGUUGAGGUUGCUCUGCACUUGUUCGUAGCAAUACCAAACAACGGUAGAAACUUCAUUUGUUUGUCAGGCUUGUUUGUGGUUUUUCUGAACUUCUUUGUCAGGCUUGUUUGUGGUCUUUCUGCUGAACUUCAUUUGUAGAUAUUGCACAAAAGCAUGAUGACGACUACGAGCCCGCCCCGUCACCGCCGCGCCUCUGCUGCUUCCGCAGUGCACCGCUAUUCUUACACCUGCAGCCUUCACGGCCUGCCUCUACCGCUCCCGCCAGCACCCCGUCGCGGCUGUCGUCGCCGGAGAGACACCCACCGCCGGCACAGGCGCAUGAGCCAUCGCCGCCGGAGAUAAGUCAGAGACCCGGAGCCCCCAUCCUGGUAUUGGACCUUCCAAUUCAAGGCACCUUCCACCUAAUACUGGAGUAAGUGGUUCCACAGAUUCAGGAAAAGCAGGGCUGAAUGGAAUCCAACGGAACUAAUGUUGCAGCUAUAGCAUCCGAUAUUUAGCGAUACAUGUUUAAUUCGGUGAUAACAGUUGCAUUACUGGAAGGUGGGUCAGGGCGCAGUGUUGAAUCAUCUUGAUUGGCCCGAGAGAAAUGAGGACCCUGCGACAGGCAACCUUUUGCUUACUAACCUCGCAAAUAUUUGAAGCGUAAGUCUCUAACUACGAAAAUGAUCUCAAAACCUUUCAUGUGACAUUGCACCUAUGAUAUGGAGAGUAUGACAAAUUAUACAAAAAGAAAAUCUAAUUUAUGGUAAGAGAAUUACAUGUAGUACUUAAUAUUUAUUGCCCGUAUGAAGCAAAGUGUCUACAACCUUUAUAACUACAACAGUUUAACUUUGAUACUCGGCAAUAGGUAUGCCGAGCUUUGCGGUUUGCCACUUCCUGAAGUAAGUAGAAAUAGGAGUUCCAGUUUCUUGAUUUUCAGGAAACUGAGGAGGAGCGUUUGAGUAAAGAGGAGAGGAAUGGUUGGGAAGCAAAUAAGAGGAAAAGGAGAGGAAAAGCAGGAGGAUGAACUGCUAAAAUAUAGCUAUGAUCAUGAGUAUAUUAUAAAUAUCAUUUUAGUUUGUUGUCUUUUUUAUUGAUUUUUCUUUGUGAUAAUAAUUGAGAAAUAAAGAAGAAUUAUGGCAUGUCAAAUAUUACCAUACUACCAGAUAUUUUUUAUUAUAUUUAGUCAUUUCCAUUUUGGGUAGACAUGUGUUAUGUUUCUUAACAUUUUUUCUUCUUGAUCUCGACUUACUUUGGACAUGCAAAGUGAGGACUUGGAUGUCUGUACACUCUAAUUUGGCUCUGAAGUUUCAAUUUGGAUAUUUGUCUCUUCUAGGUGACUUGUAAUGCAAAUUCUCUAUAAAUACAUUCAUGGAGCUAGGUGAAAACUAAGGGGACUUAUAGCAUGGCUACGGAAAAAGCUAAUAAGUGAUCACUAGGCAGUAGCACCAUAUGUUACAUAUAACUGGGUCAAGCUUUCAUCUUAUUUGGUGC